rnacentral:rRNA from 1 species
CCUACGGGUGGCUGCAGUGAGGAAUAUUGGUCAAUGGACGCAAGCCUGAACCAGCCAUGCCGCGUGCGGGAAGACGGCUCUAUGAGUUGUAAACUGCUUUUGUACGGGGGUAAUCCCGGAUACGCGUAUCUGUCUGAAUAUCUCGUACAAAUUACGCUCGGCUAACUACGGGCCCACCGCCGCGGUAAUACGGAGGGUUCAAGCGUUAUCCGGAUUUUUUGGGUUUAAAGGGUGCGUAGGCGGUCGGGUAAGUUAGAUGUGAAAUCCCGAGGCUCAACUUCGGCACUGCCUGUGAUACUGUGCGGCUAGAGAGUAGGAGCGGUAGGCGGAAUGCAUGGUGUAGCGGUGAAAUGCGUAGAGAUCAGACAGAACACCGAUUGCGAAGGCAGCUUACCGAGCUACUACUGACGUUGAGGCACGAAAGCGUGGGGAGCAAACAGGAUUAGAUACCCGGGUAGUC